rnacentral:rRNA from 1 species
CCUACGGGUGGCAGCAGUGAGGAAUAUUGGUCAAUGGGCGUAAGCCUGAACCAGCCAAGUCGCGUGAGGGAUGAAGGUUCUAUGGAUCGUAAACCUCUUUUAUAAGGGAAUAAAGUGCGGGACGUGUCCCGUUUUGUAUGUACCUUAUGAAUAAGGAUCGGCUAACUCCGUGCCAGCAGCCGCGGUAAUACGGAGGAUCCGAGCGUUAUCCGGAUUUCUUGGGUUUAAAGGGUGCGUAGGCGGCCUUUUAAGUCAGCGGUGAAAGUCUGUGGCUCAACCAUAGAAUUGCCGUUGAAACUGGGAGGCGUGAGGAUGUUUGAGGCAGGCGGAAUGCGUGGUGUAGCGGUGAAAUGCUUAGAUAUCACGCAGAACCCCGAUUGCGAAGGCAGCCUGACAAGCCAUGACUGACGCUGAUGCACGAAAGCGUGGGGAUCAAACAGGAUUAGAUACCCUUGUAGUC